UACGUAGGGGGCUAGCGUUGUCCGGAUUUAUUGGGCGUAAAGAGCGUGUAGGCGGCCAUGUAGGUCCGGUGUGAAAACUCGAGGCUUAACCUCGAGAUGUCAUCGGAAACCAUUUGGCUAGAGUCCGGAAGAGGAGAGUGGAAUUCCUGGUGUAGCGGUGAAAUGCGCAGAUAUCAGGAAGAAUAUCCGUGGCGAAGGCGGCUCUCUGGGACGGUACUGACGCUGAGACGCGAAAGCGUGGGGAGCGAACAGG
rnacentral:rRNA from 1 species